rnacentral:rRNA from 1 species
AUAGAGACUCAGAGCUGCAUAUCAAUAAGCGGAGGAAAAGAAACUAACAAGGAUUCCCCUAGUAACGGCGAGUGAAGCGGGAAGAGCUCAAAUUUGAAAUCUUAAAGGGUUUCCCUUUACGAAUUGUAGUUUAAAGAAGUGUUUUCUGUUGAGGUUUUGGUAAAAGUUCUUUGGAAUAGGACAUCAUAGAGGGUGAGAAUCCCGUAUUUGACCUUUACUUUCAACUUUGUGAUACACUUUCAAAGAGUCGGAUUGUUUGGGAAUGCAGUCCAAAAUGGGUGGUAAAUUUCAUCUAAAGCUAAAUAUUGGCGAGAGACCGAUAGCGAACAAGUACCGUGAGGGAAAGAUGAAAAGAACUUUGAAAAGAGAGUUAAACAGUACGUGAAAUUGUCAAAAGGGAAGCGUUUGACACCAGUGUUGUUUUCUCGAAAAUCAAUUAAAAAUGGCUCGAUUUUGUAUUGCUUGAGACCUUAAAAGCUCACUGUACAUUUUUCGUGUCUUUUUUAAUGCACUUUUCGUUUAACAAGUCAACAUCAGUUUCUUUUGUUGUAAAAGGGUCAUUGGAAGGUGACUUUCUUUUCGGAGAGAGUGUUUAUAGCCUCUUGCCUAUGCAGUCGGAGAGAUUGAGGUCUGCAGCGUAGAUCCUUCGGGGCUAAAUGCAUUUGUGCUAAGUUAUAGCAUUUUAUAGACAACUUGUUGACUAUGAUUUGUCUUGUAGCUUACUCGCUUAUGUUAUUUUACCUACGCUUAGGAUGUUGAACUCUAUCACACACAG